ACUAUUUUGGCAGAUAAAGUGUGUUAAAUUUAGAAUUUAAGUAUAUAGAAAUUUUUCUAUAAAUAGUA
rnacentral:tRNA from 1 species